GACGAACGCUGGCGGCGUGCUUAACACAUGCAAGUCGAACGGAAAGGCCCUGCUUUUGUGGGGUGCUCGAGUGGCGAACGGGUGAGUAACACGUGAGUAACCUGCCCUUGACUUUGGGAUAACUUCAGGAAACUGGGGCUAAUACCGGAUAGGAGCUCCUGCUGCAUGGUGGGGGUUGGAAAGUUUCGGCGGUUGGGGAUGGACUCGCGGCUUAUCAGCUUGUUGGUGGGGUAGUGGCUUACCAAGGCUUUGACGGGUAGCCGGCCUGAGAGGGUGACCGGCCACAUUGGGACUGAGAUACGGCCCAGACUCCUACGGGAGGCAGCAGUGGGGAAUAUUGCACAAUGGGCGGAAGCCUGAUGCAGCAACGCCGCGUGCGGGAUGACGGCCUUCGGGUUGUAAACCGCUUUCGCCUGUGACGAAGCGUGAGUGACGGUAAUGGGUAAAGAAGCACCGGCUAACUACGUGCCAGCAGCCGCGGUGAUACGUAGGGUGCGAGCGUUGUCCGGAUUUAUUGGGCGUAAAGGGCUCGUAGGUGGUUGAUCGCGUCGGAAGUGUAAUCUUGGGGCUUAACCCUGAGCGUGCUUUCGAUACGGGUUGACUUGAGGAAGGUAGGGGAGAAUGGAAUUCCUGGUGGAGCGGUGGAAUGCGCAGAUACCAGGAGGAACACCAGUGGCGAAGGCGGUUCUCUGGGCCUUUCCUGACGCUGAGGAGCGAAAGCGUGGGGAGCGAACAGGCUUAGAUACCCUGGUAGUCCACGCUGUAAACGGUGGGUACUAGGUGUGGGGUCCAUUCCACGGGUUCCGUGCCGUAGCUAACGCUUUAAGUACCCCGCCUGGGGAGUACGGCCGCAAGGCUAAAACUCAAAGGAAUUGACGGGGCCCUGCACAAGCGGCGGAGCAUGCGGAUUAAUUCGAUGCAACGCGUAGAACCUUACCUGGGUUUGACAUGGAUCGGGAGUGCUCAGAGAUGGGUGUGCCUCUUUUGGGGUCGGUUCACAGGUGGUGCAUGCCUGUCGUCAGCUCGUGUCGUGAGAUGUUGGGUUAAGUCCCGCAACGAGCGCAACCCUUGUUCACUGUUGCCAGCACGUUAUGGUGGGGACUCAGUGGAGACCGCCGGGGUCAACUCGGAGGAAGGUGGGGAUGACGUCAAGUCCUCAUGCCCCUUAUGUCCAGGGCUUCACGCAUGCUACAAUGGCUGGUACAGAGAGUGGCGAGCCUGUGAGGGUGAGCGAAUCUCGGAAAGCCGGUCUCAGUUCGGAUUGGGGUCUGCAACUCGACCUCAUGAAGUCGGAGUCGCUAGUAAUCGCAGAUCAGCAACGCUGCGGUGAAUACGUUCCCGGG
rnacentral:rRNA from 1 species